rnacentral:rRNA from 1 species
AUUUCAACAAUGAAGCGAGUGGCGAACUGGUGAGUAACACGUGGGGAAUCUGCCCAGAAGCAGGGGAUAACACUUGGAAACAGAUGCUAAUACCGCAUAACAACUUGGACCGCAUGGUCCGAGCUUGAAAGAUGGCUUCGGCUAUCACUUCUGGAUGGUCCCGCGGCGUAUUAGUUAGUUGGUGAGGUAAAGGCCCACCAAGACGAUGAUACGUAGCCGACCUGAGAGGGUAAUCGGCCACAUUGGGACUGAGACACGGCCCAAACUCC